AGUGAACGCUGGCGGCGUGCUUAACACAUGCAAGUCGAACGAGAACGGAUUAUAGCUUGCUAUAAUUGUCAGCUAAGUGGCGCACGGGUGAGUAAUAUAUAGGUAACGUGCCCUAGAGAAGAGGAUAACAGUUGGAAACGAUUGCUAAGACUCUAUAUGCCUUUAAGACUUAAGUCUGCAAGGGAAAUAUUUAUAGCUCUAGGAUCGGCCUGUACAGUAUCAGUUAGUUGGUGAGGUAAUGGCUCACCAAGACAAUGACGCUUAACUGGUUUGAGAGGAUGAUCAGUCACACUGGAACUGAGACACGGACCAGACUCCUACGGGAGGCAGCAGUGAGGAAUAUUGGUCAAUGGACGAAAGUCUGAACCAGCCAUGCCGCGUGCAGGAUGACGGCCCUAUGGGUUGUAAACUGCUUUUAUAUAGGAAGAAACCUCCCGACGUGUCGGGAGCUGACGGUACUAUACGAAUAAGGACCGGCUAACUCCGUG
rnacentral:rRNA from 1 species